CCUACGGGUGGCUGCAGUGGGGAAUAUUGGACAAUGGGGGCAACCCUGAUCCAGCCAUGCCGCGUGUGUGAAGAAGGCCCUCGGGUUGUAAAGCACUUUCAGUGAGGAAGAACGCCUGGUGGUUAAUACCCAUCAGGAAAGACAUCACUCACAGAAGAAGCACCGGCUAACUCCGUGCCAGCAGCCGCGGUAAUACGGAGGGUGCGAGCGUUAAUCGGAAUUACUGGGCGUAAAGCGCGCGUAGGUGGCUUGAUAAGCCGGUUGUGAAAGCCCCGGGCUCAACCUGGGAACGGCAUCCGGAACUGUCAAGCUAGAGUGCAGGAGAGGAAGGUAGAAUUCCCGGUGUAGCGGUGAAAUGCGUAGAGAUCGGGAGGAAUACCAGUGGCGAAGGCGGCCUUCUGGACUGACACUGGCACUGAGGUGCGAAAGCGUGGGUAGCAAACAGGAUUAGAUACCCUUGUAGUC
rnacentral:rRNA from 1 species